GAUGAACGCUAGCGGCAGGCUUAACACAUGCAAGUCGAGGGGCAGCAUAAUGGAUAGCAAUAUCUAUGGUGGCGACCGGCGCACGGGUGCGUAACGCGUAUGCAACCUACCUUUAACAGGGGGAUAACACUGAGAAAUUGGUACUAAUACCCCAUAAUAUCAUAGAAGGCAUCUUUUAUGGUUGAAAAUUCCGAUGGUUAGAGAUGGGCAUGCGUUGUAUUAGCUAGUUGGUGGGGUAACGGCUCACCAAGGCGACGAUACAUAGGGGGACUGAGAGGUUAACCCCCCACACUGGUACUGAGACACGGACCAGACUCCUACGGGAGGCAGCAGUGAGGAAUAUUGGUCAAUGGACGCAAGUCUGAACCAGCCAUGCCGCGUGCAGGAUGACGGCUCUAUGAGUUGUAAACUGCUUUUGUACGAGGGUAAACGCAGAUACGUGUAUCUGUCUGAAAGUAUCGUACGAAUAAGGAUCGGCUAACU
rnacentral:rRNA from 1 species